UACGUAGGGCCCGAGCGUUGUCCGGAAUCAUUGGGCGUAAAGAGCGUGUAGGCGGCCACUUACGUCCUGCGUGAAAUCUUGCGGCUCAACCGCAAGCGGUCGUGGGAAACUGGGUGGCUAGAGUGCGGGAGAGGAGAGUGGAAUUCCUGGUGUAGCGGUGGAAUGCGCAGAUAUCAGGAAGAACACCCGUGGCGAAGGCGGCUCUCUGGAACGCAACUGACGCUGAGACGCGAAAGCGUGGGGGGCAAACAGG
rnacentral:rRNA from 1 species